rnacentral:tRNA from 1 species
GGUAGUGUGGCCGAGCGGUCCAAGGCGCUGGUUUAAGGCACCAGUCUCUUCGGGGGCAUGGGUUCGAAUCCCAUCGCUGCCA